rnacentral:rRNA from 1 species
CAAGUCGAGCGGAGACAGUGAGUAGCUUGCUAUGAGCUGUUUUAGCGGCGGACGGGUGAGUAACGCGUGAGCAACCUUUCCCAGACAGGGGAAUAACACACCGAAAGGUGUACUAAUACCGCAUAAGACCACGGGAUCACAUGGUUCUGAGGUAAAAGAUUUAUCGGUUUGGGGUGGGCUCGCGUCCGAUUAGGUAGUUGGUGAGGUAACGGCCCACCAAGCCGACGAUCGGUAGCCGACCUGAGAGGGUGAUCGGCCACAUUGGGACUGAGACACGGCCCAAACUCCUACGGGAGGCAGCAGUGGGGAAUAUUGGGCAAUGGAGGAAACUCUGACCCAGCAACGCCGCGUGGAGGAAGAAGGUUUUCGGAUCGUAAACUCCUGUCCUUGGAGACGAGUAGAAGACGGUAUCCAAGGAGGAAGCCCCGGCUAACUACGUGCCAGCAGCCGCGGUAAUACGUAGGGGGCAAGCGUUGUCCGGAAUAAUUGGGCGUAAAGGGCGCGUAGGCGGCUCGGUAAGUCUGGAGUGAAAGUCCUGCUUUUAAGGUGGGAAUUGCUUUGGAUACUGUCGGGCUUGAGUGCAGGAGAGGUUAGUGGAAUUCCCAGUGUAGCGGUGAAAUGCGUAGAGAUUGGGAGGAACACCAGUGGCGAAGGCGACUAACUGGACUGUAACUGACGCUGAGGCGCGAAAGUGUGGGGAGCAAACAGGAUUAGAUACCCUGGUAGUCCACACUGUAAACGAUGAAUGCUAGGUGUAGGGGGUAUCGACCCCUUCUGUGCCGCAGUCAACACAAUAAGCAUUCCGCCUGGGGAAUACGGCCGCAAGGUUGAAACUC